ACACACACCCCCUUAACCCGUGAUGAGUGACCCACCUUGGCUUCCUCUCUCAUCUUACAGUAAGUGGGGGUUUUUGUAUACUCUAAAGUAUCAAAUAAAACUUGUGUGAAUUUCAUGUCACAAUCCUCUCAGCAAGAUCAAAAAACUCUUAAUAGUGUUGUCAUCUUCUUCACCCAAGUUUUGGAAAGAGAGGAAGAAGAGGAAAAGGGAGGGAGA
rnacentral:lncRNA from 1 species